UCUGGUGGCGAUAGCGGAGGGGACACACACGUACCCAUCCCGAACACGACCGUUAAGCCCUCCAGCGCCGAUGGUACUUGGGGUGAAGACCCCUGGGAGAGUAGGACGUUGCCAGGC
rfam:Desulfuribacillus alkaliarsenatis strain AHT28 DSM-24608_Contig_14_85X, whole genome shotgun sequence.